rnacentral:rRNA from 1 species
CACACCCGGUCUCAUUCCGAACCCGGUCGUUAAG